UUUUAUGGAUGAGCAAAGAAAGUGGUUUCUUGAGACAGGAACUAUUCUUAGUAAAGAUGCUAUGAA
rnacentral:pre_miRNA from 3 species